rnacentral:rRNA from 1 species
GACAGAGGGUGCAAACGUUUGUUCGGAAUUACUGGGCGUAAAGCGCGUGUAGGCAGUCUCGCAAGUCGGGUGUGAAAGCCCUGGGCUCAACCUAGGAAGUGCAACUCGAAACUGCGAGACUUGAGUCCUGGAGAGGAAGGCGGAAUUCUCGGUGUAGAGGUGAAAUUCGUAGAUAUCGAGAGGAACACCGGUGGCGAAGGCGGCUACACUGGCCC